CAAUAGCGUAUAUUAAAGUUGUUGCAGUUAAAAAGCUCGUAGUUGGAUUUCUGCGAGGGUGCCAAUGUCCGCCGACGCGCGUGCGCAGCGGCGCCCUCGCAUCCUUCUGUUACCACCUCUCGGCAUUCACUUGCCGGUGGUCGGCUCAGAGAAUUUACCUUGAGAAAAUUAGAGUGUUUCAGGCAGGCUAGGCCGGAAUACAUUAGCAUGGAAUAAUGGAAUAGGACUACGGUCUCGUUGUUGGUUUGAGGGACUGCAGUAAUGAUUAAUAGGGAUAGUUGGGGGCAUUAGUAUUUAAUUGUCAGAGGUGAAAUUCUCAGAUUUGUUAAAGACUAACUUAUGCGAAAGCAUUUGCCAAGGAUGUUUUCAUUGA
rnacentral:rRNA from 1 species